rnacentral:rRNA from 1 species
AUUGAACGCUGGCGGCAUGCCUUACACACGCAAGUCGAACGGCAGCACGGGAGCUUGCUCCUGGUGGCGAGUGGCGAACGGGUGAGUAAUGCAUCGGAACGUGCCCUGAAGUGGGGGAUAACGUAGCGAAAGUUACGCUAAUACCGCAUAUUCUGUGAGCAGGAAAGCAGGGGAUCUUCGGACCUUGCGCUUUUGGAGCGGCCGAUGUCGGAUUAGCUAGUUGGUGGGGUAAAGGCCCACCAAGGCGACGAUCCGUAGCGGGUCUGAGAGGAUGAUCCGCCACACUGGAACUGAGACACGGUCCAGACUCCUACGGGAGGCAGCAGUGGGGAAUAUUGGACAAUGGGCGCAAGCCUGAUCCAGCAAUGCCGCGUGUGUGAAGAAGGCCUGCGGGUUGUAAAGCACUUUCAGUGGGGAAGAACGGAUACGGGCCAAUACCCCGCAUCACUGACGUUACCCACAGAAGAAGCACCGGCUAACUCCGUGCCAGCAGCCG